CAGUAACAGUAGCAGUUGGUAGAUAGGAAGUAUGAUCAAAAUUCUCCACUACUACUCCUCUGCUGCCAUUUUCAAUAUUCCAAUUCAUAUUUUCAGUAAUUAUUGCCCGCCCAAUUUAACGGUGGAUGUUGCUGUUGUUGUUGUUGUUGUUGUUGUGGCUGUUGUGGUUGAUGUGGAGGAUACACACCACCACCAGGUUGAGGACCUCCUACAAUUUCUGCACCACCGACAGCUUGAGAAUGUUGGAGAAUUGGGUGAACUGCUGCAGCAGACGGGAUUUGACUGGGAUGGAAGAUUCCAGGGAAUGUACUGUGAAGAUGUGGAUGGGGUGAUGGUAGUGUUGGG
rnacentral:lncRNA from 1 species